AUGCAUGACUGGUUCAAUGAGCUAAACACAAGCCUCCAGGGCAAGGAAUCAACCAUUUUGGAGAUUGAAGAUGGCAUCAGAGGAUUCACUGCAUGCCUGGGAUUGUGGCAGUCACAGCUGAAGGCUGGCGCAUAUGGCAUGUUCCCUGUUCUGUCAGCUCACAUACAGUGCACUGUGUGUGAAGGUGCUCACUCUUGUGUGAAGGAGGUUUUUGUACAGAGACUUCACCAGAAUGAAUCACUGUGGUACACUUUUGGAAGCGGCACAAAACUGUUGCUGAAAACUGGUCCCUCUGUCAGGCCCACAGUGUCUCUGCUCCCCCCGUCCUCUGAGCAGCUCUCCGGGGGCUCGGCCACACUGGCCUGCCUGCUGAGUGACUACUCCCCCCAGGGGGCGAUGGUGAGCUGGGAGGUAGACGGGGCGGAUGUGAAGGAGGAGGUCCUGACCACCACAGAAGAAGAGAAGGGUGGCCGCUACAGUCGCAGCAGCACCCUGACCCUGAGCAAGGCACGCUGGGAAGAGGGAGAGGUCUACACCUGCAGGGUCGCCCACGACGACACCAGUGACUCGGCCGCCUUCCGGAAAAGUCACUGUAGUGUCUAGAAGCCAUUGUAGGGGGGUAGAGAGUCCCCACAUGGUGCAAGUGAAGGAAACAUGAGUGUUUUAGAGCUGAAGGUUACAGUAUAAUAGUGAAUAAUAUCAGUAGUGCUGUGUGAUAAACUAUUUUGAGAUUUAGUUGUACAUGUCGUCUUGCCUCUGAGUUCAAAUAAAGCUUGUUUUGAU